rnacentral:rRNA from 1 species
AGCCCAGAGCCUGAAUCAGUGUGUGUGUUAGUGGAAGCGUCUGGAAAGGCGCGCGAUACAGGGUGACAGCCCCGUACACAAAAAUGCACAUGCUGUGAGCUCGAUGAGUAGGGCGGGACACGUGGUAUCCUGUCUGAAUAUGGGGGGACCAUCCUCCAAGGCUAAAUACUCCUGACUGACCGAUAGUGAACCAGUACCGUGAGGGAAAGGCGAAAAGAACCCCGGCGAGGGGAGUGAAAAAGAACCUGAAACCGUGUACGUACAAGCAGUGGGAGCACGCUUAGGCGUGUGACUGCGUACCUUUUGUAUAAUGGGUCAGCGACUUAUAUUCUGUAGCAAGGUUAACCGAAUAGGGGAGCCGAAGGGAAACCGAGUCUUAACUGGGCGUUAAGUUGCAGGGUAUAGACCCGAAACCCGGUGAUCUAGCCAUGGGCAGGUUGAAGGUUGGGUAACACUAACUGGAGGACCGAACCGACUAAUGUUGAAAAAUUAGCGGAUGACUUGUGGCUGGGGGUGAAAGGCCAAUCAAACCGGGAGAUAGCUGGUUCUCCCCGAAAGCUAUUUAGGUAGCGCCUCGUGAAUUCAUCUCCGGGGGUAGAGCACUGUUUCGGCAAGGGGGUCAUCCCGACUUACCAACCCGAUGCAAACUGCGAAUACCGGAGAAUGUUAUCACGGGAGACACACGGCGGGUGCUAACGUCCGUCGUGAAGAGGGAAACAACCCAGACCGCCAGCUAAGGUCCCAAAGUCAUGGUUAAGUGGGAAACGAUGUGGGAAGGCCCAGACAGCCAGGAUGUUGGCUUAGAAGCAGCCAUCAUUUAAAGAAAGCGUAAUAGCUCACUGGUCGAGUCGGCCUGCGCGGAAGAUGUAACGGGGCUAAACCAUGCACCGAAGCUGCGGCAGCGACGCUGAUGCGUUGUUGGGUAGGGGAGCGUUCUGUAAGCCUGCGAAGGUGUGCUGUGAGGCAUGCUGGAGGUAUCAGAAGUGCGAAUGCUGACAUAAGUAACGAUAAAGCGGGUGAAAAGCCCGCUCGCCGGAAGACCAAGGGUUCCUGUCCAACGUUAAUCGGGGCAGGGUGAGUCGACCCCUAAGGCGAGGCCGAAAGGCGUAGUCGAUGGGAAACAGGUUAAUAUUCCUGUACUUGGUGUUACUGCGAAGGGGGGACGGAGAAGGCUAUGUUGGCCGGGCGACGGUUGUCCCGGUUUAAGCGUGUAGGCUGGUUUUCCAGGCAAAUCCGGAAAAUCAAGGCUGAGGCGUGAUGACGAGGCACUACGGUGCUGAAGCAACAAAUGCCCUGCUUCCAGGAAAAGCCUCUAAGCAUCAGGUAACAUCAAAUCGUACCCCAAACCGACACAGGUGGUCAGGUAGAGAAUACCAAGGCGCUUGAGAGAACUCGGGUGAAGGAACUAGGCAAAAUGGUGCCGUAACUUCGGGAGAA